CGUGGUGGCGAGGGGGUUUAGGGGGAAAAGAGAGAGGGGGCCGUGGCCUUUAUAGGGACGCGGUCGGGGCACUUCGGGAAGGUCGGGAACGGCGGGCGCCAGAAUUGCGGCAGCGCAGGGAUCGCGCGCGUGACUGGCGGCGCUUUGCUUCGGGGAAGACCCAGCUGACAGGUGGGCCCCACUUGUCAGCGGCUACGGGCGCGCACGCGGCUGGCUUGGCCGGCUCGGCCCGGUUCGGGCGCGCGGAACUAGGCCAGUUCGGACCAUUUGGCCGGUCCGGUUUCUUCCCUUUUUUUUUCUUUUAGCAUUUUCUUUUUCCCUUUUUCUUAUUUCUUUGAUAUCUUUUGAUUUUGAACUCCAAAUUUGUCGCACCAGUGGCACCCGGGGUACCACCGCUGCGUGACGCAUGGGCCCCGUUCCCGAGUUCCCGGGAAGGUCUCAUCCCGAGGAGCGUCUGUGAGCUCCCCGGCAAGCUACCAGCCCGGAAGGGGCUCGCGGGGCUUCGGGGAACAUUCCCGCCUGGGCACCUCCUGGGAAGCUGCUUCUCGGGGGAGGUUCCCGGGUGCGCUGGGCCCGGGUGCUUCCCGGGGUCGACUUGCUGGGACUAGAGGUUCCCGGGCACAUGCCCCCGCCUCAGGCACGGGGCCCAGUGGUCAGAUGAACAGCGCCACGCGGGCGCGUGGCGGGCGUGGGAUGCGCGGUCUCAGCAGGGCAAGGAGUGAGGCGCACGGCUCAGUAAACGAGCCGACCGACGGGUAGUUACCCGUCCAAUCAAAGGAACAGUGGCUGUCCAAUCCUACUCAAGUGUUUUAGACCCCUAGUGGCGGAGGUGGCAUCCAUGCACGCCACCACCUCACCGGGAGGAGUUGUGUGCCUCCCCGCUAGACACUUGUAGCCCAUGCACUGUGGCACUUGUGGCAUCCCCUUGUAUAUAAAAGGAGUACCCAUGCCAACGGUGAGAGGGUUCCGCAUUUGUUUGGCUCAGUUCAGCAAGUUCGUUCAGCUCGCUCAGCAGAAGCUUAGUCGGCUCCAGUAGACAGCCAGUAGAGAGCAGUACUUAGCCAUUGAGAGAAGGCCCGGGAACUUUUAAACAUUUGACCCACAGCUAAUACCAGCUCAAACAAGCAGGACGUAGGGUUUUACACCUCCUGGUGGCCCGAACCUGGGUAAAAACGUG
rnacentral:lncRNA from 1 species